rnacentral:rRNA from 1 species
GGGGAAUCUUGCGCAAUGCGCGAAAGCGUGACGCAGCAACGCCGCGUGGGGGAAGACGGCCUUCGGGUUGUAAACCUCUUUCAGUUGGGACGAAGCCUCGUCGGUUAAUAGCCGGCCGAGGUGACGGUACCUUCAGAAGAAGCCCCGGCUAACUACGUGCCAGCAGCCGCGGUAAGACAGAGGGUGCAAACGUUGUUCGGAAUUACUGGGCGUAAAGCGCGUGUAGGCGGCAGCGUGUGUCGGGCGUGAAAUCCCAUGGCUCAACCAUGGAAGUGCACCCGAAACUGCGCAGCUAGAGUCCUGGAGAGGAAGGUGGAAUACUUGGUGUAGAGGUGAAAUUCGUAGAUAUCAAGUGGAACACCGGUGGCGAAGGCGGCCUUCUGGACAGUGACUGACGCUGAGACGCGAAAGCGUGGGGAGCAAA